rnacentral:rRNA from 1 species
CCUACGGGAGGCAGCAGUGGGGAAUCUUGCGCAAUGGGCGAAAGCCUGACGCAGCCAUGCCGCGUGAAUGAUGAAGGUCUUAGGAUUGUAAAAUUCUUUCACCGGGGACGAUAAUGACGGUACCCGGAGAAGAAGCCCCGGCUAACUUCGUGCCAGCAGCCGCGGUAAUACGAAGGGGGCUAGCGUUGCUCGGAAUUACUGGGCGUAAAGGGAGCGUAGGCGGAUAGUUUAGUCAGAGGUGAGAGCCCAGGGCUCAACCUUGGAAUUGCCUUUGAUACUGGCUAUCUUGAGUAUGGGAGAGGUUAGCGGAACUCCGAGUGUAGAGGUGAAAUUCGUAGAUAUUCGGAAGAACACCAGUGGCGAAGGCGGCUAACUGGCCCAUUACUGACGCUGAGGCUCGAAAGCGUGGGGAGCAAACAGGAUUAGAUACCCUGGUAGUCCACGCCGUAAACGAUGAGUGCUAGUUGUCGGCAUGCAUGCAUGUCGGUGACGCGAGCUACGACAUAAGUACACGUCCGCCGUCGGGGUAGGUACGGUCGGCGAGAAGUUAAACGUACGUAAGUUAGUUAAGUUAGUUACGGCGUGAGACGUUGCCGACGGACGACGACGAGGGAGGAGG